rnacentral:misc_RNA from 1 species
GCAAACUUGGUCAUUUAGAGGAAGUAAAAGUCGUAACAAGGUCUCCGUUGGUGAACCAGCGGAGGGAUCAUUACCGGGUUCGCCGAAAGGCGAUUUCCCACCCAAAAAACCCCAUGUGAACCUCUACCGAUGUUGCCUCGGCGGUGCCCCGGGACCGGACCCCCCGCCCACGCGGGAGGCCCCCGGGGGCUCCCACCGCCGGCGGCCCUGAAGAAACGCAUCUCCCAGAGACAGACCUCUUGAGAAAUACGCUGUAAAAAGCAAAACCGAUACAACCUUCAACAGUGGAUCUCUUGGUUCCGGCAUCGAUGAAGAACGCAGC